AUGUCCAGCUUUCUGCAGUUUUCAGGCCCCUCCGUCUACAUUAACCUGCGGACUCUGACAUCCCAGCCCCUCGACUGGAUGAGGUUCACACUCAAGUUAACGGUCCUCAGAUGUCAGGGACCACAUCCCGCCUCAUGCGCUUUCUGUAAACACAGGCGUAUCAACCCGUCCCAAUUGGGCUUAAGUAACUCUGCGCCCUGGACCCUUAUGUACUCCCCAAACCCAUUCCCACAGAAGUCACCCAGACGUUUUCUCAUUUGGGGUAUGAAGUUCCUGCUUUUCUCUCCACCCGCCCUGGCUCGGGUGGGACCUGGUUCAAGCAUUGGUAUGGAAAGGACCUGAGUUUCAGUUCAUAUUUAAAAACAAGAAAUUAGGGAUUUGAGUCAACCUAAGGAGAGUUGGACUGUGAAGAAGGCUGAGAGCUGAAGAAUUGAUGCUUUUGANNNNNNNNNNNNNNGAAGACUCUUCAAAGUCCCUUGGACUGCAAGGAGAUCCCACCAGUCCAUUCUGAAGGAGAUCUGUCCAGGGUUUUCUUUGGAAGGAAUGCUGCUAAAGCUGAAUCUCCAGUACUUUGGCCACCUCAUGGCAAGGUUGACUCAUUGGAAAAAACUCUGAUACUGGGAGGAAUUGGGGGCAGGAGUAAAAGGGGACGACAGAGGAUGAGAUG
rnacentral:lncRNA from 1 species